rnacentral:ncRNA from 2 species
AGAGUUAAAUAGUACGUGAAAUUGCUAAAAGGGAAACGAUUGAAACCAGUGUUGUGUCCAGGAAAUCAGCCGCCACUAUGUGACGGUGCACUUUUCUGGACGCAGGUCAACAUCAGUUUGGGAUCAUGGAAAAACUGUCGGGAAGGUAGCUGGAGCAAUCCAGUGUUAUAGCCCGAUGGCAUGCAUGGUCGCGGACUGAGGCCGGCAGCGUUUUUUGGGAUCGGCGGUAUUCUCUGGGUGUCGCGGUGCAGGCUGCUUGCAGGCUGCAUUGUUACACUCGGUCUAUGCUGCUUCGUCCACACCAGCGCUUAGGAUGUUGACGAAAUGGUUUUAAACGACC